rnacentral:rRNA from 1 species
CACGUAGGCACCAAGCGUUGUCCGGAUUUAUUGGGCGUAAAGAGCUCGUAGGCGGUUCGGUAAGUCGGGUGUGAAAACUCUGGGCUCAACUCAGAGACGCCACCUGAUACUGCCGUGACUGGAGUCUGGUAGGGGAGUGUGGAAUUCCCGGUGUAGCGGUGAAAUGCGCAGAUAUCGGGAGGAACACCAGUGGCGAAGGCGGCACUCUGGGCCAGUACUGACGCUGAGGAGCGAAAGCGUGGGGAGCGAACAGG